UCAGCGCACGCCUGAAAAAGAAAAUGCCCGGCCGGAGCCGGGCAUUUUUAUGCGGAUUUGCAUAAGGCAAACCGGUGACGGACUUCGCCCCAAGGGCGAAAUGGUGUCACGCCGAAAGCGCGUCCAGUUCCUUCACAAUCGCCUCACCCAUCUGCGACGUGGAGACGAUCUUCGCGCCGUCAGACUUGAUGUCGGCUGUACGAAGACCCUUGGCGAGAGUCGCGGCGAUCGCCGCGUCGAUCAUGUCGGCUUCGUUCUGCAAAUCGAACGAGUAGCGCAGCGCCAUCACGAACGACGCGAUCAUCGCAAUCGGAUUGGCCAUGCCCUUGCCGGCGAUGUCCGGCGCCGAACCAUGCACCGGCUCCCCCCAC
rnacentral:misc_RNA from 1 species